rnacentral:lncRNA from 1 species
UUAAAGUGCGAUGGGGCUACGUACGCAAGUUUACUGCGUUUUCUGACUCGGUCUGUCAUUAGUCUAUUUUCGUGCAGUGGACAUGUUUUGCAGUUGGAUUUGGGUUGGUUAGAAAAAUGGAAGACACAACAAGUAGGUGCCUGUUCAAACACCAGGAUUAUGUCACCAAUAUUAGACCCUGAUUCACUAUCUGAAACAUCUUCGAUAGUGCCAAUUGCGAAGGAAAUUAAAAUAAGUACCUAAUACAGAUAAUACUACGUGAUUACGCAAUGAUUCGGGAUUCUGAAUCUGAAACUGAUGUCGAUAUGCAGGGGACAGAGGAUUAUCCGGAAUUAUUAAACAAAGAGAAGAAACCAAGAAAAAAGCGAAGAAGGGCAUGUCGCACCUUAACUUCAACCCAAAAACUCGAUUCCGAAACUGAUACACAGGAUUUUUCUCCCAGUGAUGGCUCAGAUUUUGUCCCGGAUUCAGCCAGUCGAUUUAGUGAUGACUCAAUGCAUUUUAUUAUUACUUAGCAAUAUGCAUUUGUAAGAGAAAAACUCCUCGAACUGCUGCAUGACACUUGCAGUCGAGGGUACCUUGCAAAUGCAUACUGUUGAGUGACACCGUCUGCCGUUCCCGCCUGCCGCUGCCAUCGCUGUCUUAUGUGUUUAAACGUGUUAUGCUUAAGUCCAUGUAAUUACCACUAUCCACCGCCCUACUCGGCUGUCAAUGUUGGUAUAAUAAGACCUCAGAUUACGACAAAGUUUUUUCUUGCAUGUCACUCGGAAUGCGUUAGCAGUGGACUGUAGCAAAACACUUAAACAUCUACAAUGGUAACGUUAUGGCGGGUAAAAACACUAUUUUUACAGUUUUGUUACAUUUUUCUGUGAAAAGGGUGUCUUAUUCAUCUACAUAGUGAAAUAAUAAAAAAGCACUUUUAAAAUUGUGUCGCUAACUUCAAACUCGGGUAAAUCCAUUCUGCUUUAAGGUUGAUUAUGUAUAAUAGUUAUUUGUUUUACAAGGGGGCAAUGUAGUUGUUU